CACGGGACACCUGCAUCUGCCAACAAGACUGGAAGCAGAAAGGGACAGAGACGGCGAAGUUUGACGGUCUGGAAAGCAGAGACCAGCAGGGCUGACUGCUUGGGAGCACCAAAUAUCCGGACAGCGCCUCUCGGGAGGUCCGAGAAGAGAACCGCGAUCUGUUUCAGCACCGGGGCUCAGGACAGUUCCCAGCGGGCUCCGUUUCGUCUCCAGAACCCUGGACAGCUCCUCCAGACUUCGGUGAGAAACCUUGUGCCAAGCAUUUUACAUACAUCAUAUCAUGCCAUCUUCAACCCUAGGACAUGGGUGUUACUGUGCCCAUGUGACAUUUGGGGAACCCAAGGCCCUGAGAAAGGCAGAAAAAUAACCCACGCAGGGACUCUCAGCCCACAAGUGAAGCUGAGAACCGGGAAUGGAAAACAGGGAGGCAGCACAGAGGCAGGAAACUCAGGUGUCAUAGCUUGGCUCAGAUCCAAUUCUCUCCCCUUGAAAGUGGGCUAGACUUGGCAAAUACGAUGUGGCAGAAGUGACACUAUGACUUCUGAGGCUGCGUGAUAAGAGGUGAUACGAUACAGCUUAUGCCUGGUUCUCUCUCUGGAUGCUUGCUCCUGGGACCCAGCAGCCAUCUUGUGAGGAAGCUCAAGCUACAUGGAGGUGUUCCUGCCGGCAGUCCCAGUUGAGGUCCUUCAAGAUGACUCCAACCCCAGCCUCCUUCUGACUUGAACCACAUACGAACUGCCCCCAGUGAGAACUGUCUAGCAGAGUCCACUCUCAGAACCAUGACAAGUAAUAAUAAUAGGUUGUUGUUUAUGUCAGUAA
ensembl:lncRNA MIR7-3HG MIR7-3 host gene